GCCCCGCAAUGGGGGGCACUGCUAUAAAUCAUCAAGUCUUUGAUCACUUCUUGAACAUUUUUUAAGUAUUGUAUAGUCCAGGUGUAACCCACAUGUGAUAUUGCAAGUCCAAAGAGAAGCAGUGGGGUGCUCAUCUCACCUUCCCUGAGUGUUGCCUUGUGUAGAAACACAAUUAGGAUAUUUCCCAGGUAUCAGCUUUGGUCUGACAGAAUUUCAGUAGAUGGGUUGAGGUGGAAAUGUAAGGUCAUCGCACUCCUCUUCUCUCUCCUGCAAAGGACAGGACAUCCCUCAUGAGCAGGAGAGCGGUGGCUGGAUAGUGUCAUGGUAGAUCCUGUUGUGCGCACAGAGAGCGUUGGCCUGUCAGCUCUUUGAUCUCCUUCAUAAGGAACACAGACCAAGUGGUGACACUCUUGUCCCAUGGGAGUGAACUAUAAAGAUCCUUUGAUCUCUUGCCCUGGUGAGAGUGCACCCUGAGGGAGACACACUGCACCAAAGUCCUGCCUGGCUUCAUUCAGAGCCGUUCCAGAGCAUGGAGACGGUGAUUGGGCUAAACAGCUAUCUCCCAUCCAAGCUCUGAUUGCCUCAGCUCUCAGGUGAGUAAAGAGGGAGUGGCCGUGACAUGUGACAUGUGCCCAAUGAAAACCUCUGAUGCAGCUUGGAAAUACAGGCUAACUAGGCAGUUGCCUAGGGUGCCAAGUUAAAUGGGGCGCCAAAUUCGAGGAAAAAAAUGAAAUUAAAAAAAAGAGAGAACCCCGAAAAAGAUGAAAAAAAUACAAAUAAAAUAACGAAGAUGUCAUUAUUUCAAUUCCCAUUCGUAUAUCGAGGGAAUGUGAAUUAUAAUUCAUUUCUCUACAUUUCUGAAAAUUUAUUAAUAUGUCAAAGCUUUUAUUUACUUCAAAAAUAAUAUUUCACUGAAUUUUUUUUUCAAAUUUGCGAGAUAGGGUAAAGAUGACCCACUCUGCAAUUUUGAUAAGCAAUAACUCAACCACAAUGAAACACUUCUGCCAGUGGCAAGAGCUGCAAUGCUAGUGACACCUAACUUGAACAUAAAUCAAGGUCGCAUAGCCAGAAAUUCAUGUAGAGCGGAGAUACCACGAGUUGAUACUUGUAAAAUGGUCAUUUUAACACGUCAUAGGUAGAUAGUUAAGAAUUGAGCAAAUAUUGUGGAAAAUAGUGUUUCUUGGUGCCAAAGAAUAAAGAAUGACAUUUCAGCAUUAUAAAUCCAAAAUCAUUUGGCUCAGAGAUGCUGUUACUGGGAGGGUCUGAAGAGCUUGGAGGGAACCGGGGUGUGACAUGGACCGAAGUCCCUUCUGUAACCUCCCCCAUCGUCCCGACAGGCUGAGGAAUCACGUCCACAUUUCGCUCCAGAUUGGCUCAUCUUCCAGGCUGUGAUGGAGCCAGCUCAGAUGCCGGUGACCUUCGAGGAGGUGGCUGUGUAUUUCACCCAGGGGCAGGGGGCUCUGCUGGACCCCGCUCAGAGAGCCCUCUACAGGGACGUCAUGCAGCAGAACUACGAGAUUGUGACCUCGCUGGGUAAGGGAUUCCCGUCCCCUCGGUUAUUAGAAGCCGUUGAGUUUGUAUGUAUGAAUCUGGGCAGGUUCUUCCCUGAUCAGUUAGAUCUGAGGGGAAUGUUUUGCAUAAUGAACAGUUGCCUUGUGAGAGAGACUUCCAUCUCCGUGCCCUCUCCAGUGAGACACGGUGUCAAAACUUAAUGGACAUGUUAGCUCAUCCCCACCCCUCUGGCUUUAAAAGGGACAGAAUUCAUUCGUUGUCCUCUCUGUAUUGACUCCCAUACACACCAAAUCCUUAUUUAUCUCCCUUCUUGAGAAUAGCUCCAGCCAUUGGGAAGGCUUAGAAAUAGGCAGAGGUUUCACGCGAGAGCUGUGUGUGAGUCAGCAAUGCCCCUAGGCUGCGCAGAUCCUGGGAACACCUAAUGAGAGUGUAAAAAUUCCCCUCACCUCCCCAGAGGGCUGCCUCUCCCAAGAGGGCUCAGCGACCAUGUUCCUGUCUUCCUGGGUUCCAUGUUCCCCAGCAGAGCACAGGGACAUGUUCCGCUCACACAAUGUCCUUUGUGACAGAUGCACUCUCAAUCCUCCAUGCACCCUGAUCUGGUUUGACUUCCACCCCCUGCGCAGGAUUCCCCAUUCCCAAACCUGAGCUGAUCUCCCGCCUGGAACGAGGGGAAGAGCCGUGGGUCCCAGAUCUCCAGGCCUGUGAGGAAAGAGAGAGCCUGAGAGGCGACCACACAGCAGGUGCUGAGCGAGGGAGUGAGAAGGAGGAAGGGGAUCAUCAUGAGGAAGUCCCUGGGAAAGUGGAACCACAAAGGACAUUUGUGGGAAGAGCUGAAGGGAAUUUUUCCCAGUGCUUCGAACAGGAAGAAGCCUGGGGAAAUUGGGACAGGUCAGAGAGGCAGCGGGAAAACCACCCAAGGAAGAAGGUGGAUGAAUCUAUUAAAUGUGGGGGAGGAGACCAGGAUCCCACAACCCAGCAGACAAAUUUCAAGGAAGACAAACGCUAUGAAUACCUCAUGUAUGGGGAAGGAUUCAUUCUGAGAUCACAGCUUGUUACACAUCAGACAAUCCAUACCGGAGAGAAACCCCUUCAAUGCUUGGACUGUGGGGAAAUCUUCAAUAAUCGCUCAGCCCUGAGUAAUCAUGGGAGAAGCCACAGAAGAGAGAAACCUUCUCAAUGUCUCGAGUGUGGGAAAUGUUUCAUUUGGAAGUCAGAACUAAUUAGACAUCAGCUCAGCCACACAGGGGAGAGACCCCACAAGUGCGUGUACUGUGGGAUAAGUUUCACAUGGAGGUCAGACCUUGUUAGACAUCAGGCAAUCCACACAGGAGAGAGACCCCAUAAGUGUUUAAACUGUGGGAAAAGUUUCACACAGAGGUCAGUCCUUGUUAUACAUCAGCGAAUCCACACAGGAGAGAGACCUUACAAGUGCGUGGACUGUGGGAAAAGUUUCACAUGUAGGUCAGACCUUGUUCGACAUCAGUCAAUCCACACAGGAGAGAGACCCCAUAAGUGUUUAGACUGUGGGAAAAGUUUCACAUGGAGGUCAGUCCUUGUUAUACAUCAGAGAAUCCACACAGGAGAGAGACCUUACAAGUGCUUAGACUGUGGAAAAGGUUUAAUGUGUAGGUCACACCUUGUUAGACAUCAGUCAAUCCACACAGGAGAGAGAUCCCACAAGUGCUUGGACCCUGGGGAAAUUUCACACAGAGAUCCCACCUCAUUAAACACGAGAGAAUAGACACUGGAGCUAAACAUCUCUGACACAGAGACAGAAGGUGUUAAGGAAAUUGCAUUUAAUUGACCUAGAUUCAACCUUUAGAGACACGUUAGAAAAGUGUGUCCUAGUUAGGUAAACUAGAGCUUCGAGAGGUAAACGUGUAUUGUUAAAGACAUGGAAGAAGAUGGUAACUGUAGUGGUCUUUGUUUGGCUGUAUCUUGUUAGAGGUUAACAAUGGAAGUAAACAGUUCUUUUCUAGAGCUGUAUUCUGUGAAUUCAGAGAUCAAAAGGGAAUAUUAACAUUUAGACAAAACUUGGUUGUAAUAAUGUCAUUGUCUCCUGAAAGUUUGUGGUAAACUGUCUAUGAACUGCUUUAUGGAGAAUCACCUCAUGCUAAUCCAUGUAAUUACUUACCAGUGAUGUUUAGGAAAUAGAAGGUUACUUCAAAAGCCUAUUGUUCAGCCAAGGACUGUGUGCUGUCGAGAUACUGCAAAAAUGAUUUUCUUUUCUGAUCUGCCUAACCUUUAUACGGGGGGAGUGUGAUUCGGAAGAUGGGGAUCUGCAGUCCUAUCUGGACCGCAGUGACAUUGAAAUUGGACAUUGGACUAAAACUUGUUUAAAUGAUUAAGAAAAGGACUCUUUGCAAUUCUAAAGCACCAUCUCUACAGUGAAACUAACCUAAUGACUCUAUGCAUGUCUGUAUGUAUAAUGAUCGUUUAACCAACACACACUCUCUAUUUUCUUCUUUUAAUAAAUCUUAGUUGAGUUAAUAAGAA